AAUAAUGCUACGAGCAUUCAAGAGUAUCAAGCGUAGCUAUGCUUCAGGUGGCUUAUUCUGAGAAAAAUGUGUGUUCUGCGCUAUGCCGGUUUCAGAACGUGUGCUUUGAUGGCCUUUAUCUCGGUGAUUCUGAUAUGGGCACCACUCAUUUCGAGUGUCCCAUAUGAAUACUUGCUCGUCCAUCUUAAUCUUGUCACCGAGGAGGGUUGCCCUUUUGCCAUUCGCCCUGUCCGCAGCAGCACUUUCCCACAAUUUCUUGCGAACUACUAC
rnacentral:lncRNA from 1 species